AGAGUAUUUACGGGGAGCUGGAGACUGCCGGCUGAGAGUUCCGACCUAAAAGAUAUCGUGCCCUAGUCGGAAGACCCAUUGAACCUGUCGGGAUAAUGCCCGCGGAGGGAAUAAUAUGAAAAAUGCA
rnacentral:ncRNA from 2 species